AACAACUGCUAUUAGGGCAGCAGGAGAAACAAGCACUGGAGAGAGGCUGAGUAUGUGAAUAAUCCCACACUGUGAUCACUCAUGACACUCUGUCACCCAGGCUGGAGUGCAGUGGCCCAUCUUAGCUCACUGCAGCCUGGACCUCCCAGGCUCAAGCAGUCCUCACCUCAGCCUCCCGAACAGCUGGGACUGCAGGCAUGCACCACCAUGCCCACCUAAUUUUUUAAAUUUUUUUGUAGAGAUUGGGCCUCGCUAUGUUGUCCAGGCUGGUCUCGAACUCCUGAGCUCAGGCGAUCUUCCUGCCUUGACCUCCCAAAGUGCUGGGAUUACAGGUGUGAGCUACUGGGCCCAGCCCCCUCCGUCCAUAUUGUUACCCACCACACCAAGAUUUUCAUCAACCAGUUUCACAUAAUCAGAGCAAUCCCCUUAAAUUCCUA
rnacentral:lncRNA from 1 species